rnacentral:tRNA from 1 species
GUCAAGGUGGCCUAGUGGUUAGGGACUAGGGCUUGGGUCUGGAAGGUCCCUGGUUCUAAUCCGGGUCGUUUUG